UCAUAAUAUUUAUUCUUACAUGUGUUUUCCACUGAAACAAACGCAGGUGACAGCAUAAUUGCAUGAUGAAAGGGGUAGAUUACCGAAGGCGUCAUUCUCUGCUGUCUACCUGGCUCCUGGUUUUGCGUUUGAUAGUGCUGCUCUAGCGCUGAGACCCCUAGAGGGCGUAGUUCUUCCUGAUGUCCUAUUACUUCUAGGUGUCGACCCAGUCAGCCCAGCCAGUAAUACACUAUCUUCCAUGGACCGGCUCAUACAUAAAACGUCCUCCAUUCAGGCUGCAAAGGCAUCAGUUUCCUUCUUAACUCGAUUUAAGAUCUCGUCGUGGGAAAAAAAAACGUGUAAAAUAUGUGCACUGUAUUAAUAAAACACAAUUUUCCAUCACCAUGCUAGGGUGGCUAAUGCUACUUCCUGAUGUUGCGGUGCGCUUACAGGAAGGGGUAAACAGACUCACUAGGGCUGUGCUUCAAACUCAUAAAAGACACACCCUCGUCCACUUACCCUCGCCUUAUGCCCUUGGGGGAAUCCCCAUCACCAUCUUGGACGUCGGUCCAAGCGAUUAGCCAAACAAGGGCCGUUCGCAACGUAAGCCCCCUAGCCCUCGUUUUUGGUCGAGUUUGCGAGCGUACAAUUAUUUUCACUUUGGGCCUGAAACGCACCAUAAUUCAAUUCGCAAUGAUUGUACAUCCGCUAAAAAAAGUCAGCCGAAACAUAAAACCUCAACAUGGAUAAGUCAACAUACAAGUAUCCUCAAAAUGUUCUACAGCUGUACCAUCGAGAGCAUCCUGACCGGUUGCAUCACCGCCUGGUAUGGCAACUGCUCUGCAGCCGACCGUAAGGCGCUACAGAGGGUAGUGCGUACGUCCCAAUACAUCACUGGGCCAAGCUUCCUGCCAUCCAGGACCUAUAUACAAGGCAGUGUCAGAGGAAGGACCAACAAAUUGUCGAAGACUCCAGUCACCCAAGUCAUAGGCUGUUUUCUCUGCUACCGCACGGCAAGAUGUACCGGAGCGCCAAGUCUAGGUCAAACAGGCUUCUAAACAGCUUCUACCCCCAAGCUAUAAAACUGCUGAACAAUUAAUCAAAUGGCCACCUGGACUAUUUACAUAUUUACAUUGACCCCCCUUUGUUUUUACACUGCUUCUACUUGUGUCACGUCCUGACCAGUAUAAGGGGUUAUUGGUUAUUGUAGUUUGGUCAGGACGUGGCAGGGGGUUUUUGUUUUAUGUGGUUCGGGGUUUGUUGGGAUAUGUUCUUAUGUAGAGGGGUGUUUGUUUUAUGUGUUUCGGGGUUUUUGGGUAUUGCUCUAUGUUUUGUAUUUCUAUGGUUUUUCUAUGUUGUGUAUUUCUUUGUUGGCCUGGUAUGGCUCUCAAUCAGGAACAGCUGUACAUCGUUGUUGCUGAUUGGGAGUCAUACUUAGGUAGCCCUUUUUUCACCUGUCUUUUG
rnacentral:lncRNA from 1 species